rnacentral:misc_RNA from 1 species
AAGUCGUAACAAGGUUUCCGUAGGUGAACCUGCGGAAGGAUCAUUAAUUAAUACUGUUUCUCUCUUUUGAGGACAUAUUUAUUGUGCAAUUAUAAAGAGUUGUGGUUCUCGGAAGAGAUUCCAUACACUCACUAUAUUUUACCAUUGGAUUACUAUUAUUCUGAAAAGAAUACUAUUAUAAUUAUAAAUAACUUUUAACAACGGAUCUCUUGGCUCUCC